UACGUAGGCAGCAAGCGUUGUUCGGAGUUACUGGGCGUAAAGGGUGUGUAGGCGGUUGGAUAAGUGUGGUGUGAAAUCUCCCGGCUUAACUGGGAGGGUGCGCUACAAACUGUCUGACUAGAGUGUGGGAUGGGUAAGUGGAAUUCCUGGUGUAGCGGUGAAAUGCGUAGAUAUCAGGAAGAACACCCGUGGCUAAGGCGGCUCUCUAGUACGGUACUGACGCUGAGACGCGAAAGCGUGGGGAGCGAACAGG
rnacentral:rRNA from 1 species